rnacentral:rRNA from 1 species
UACGUAGGCAGCAAGCGUUGUCCGGAUUUAUUGGGCGUAAAGCGCGCGUAGGCGGCGCGGUAUGUCGUGCGUGAAAUCUCCCGGCUUAACUGGGAGGGGCCGUGCGAAACUGCCGGGCUUGAGGUCGGAAGGGGAAAGUGGAAUUCCGGGUGUAGUGGUGGAAUACGUAGAUAUCCGGAGGAACACCAGCGGCGAAGGCGGCUUUCUGGUCCGGAACUGACGCUGAGGCGCGAAAGCGUGGGGAGCAAACGGG